AUAAUAAUUUUUUUUACGUAAAUUUCAUCUUUGUCUCUUUGUUUUUUCUUAUUUUAUUUUAAUAAUAUUAUAAAUGACUUAAUUGACCUUAAAUGUAAGUUAAAAUUUGUAUAUACGAUGAAGUUUGUAUUAUAGUUAAUCAUUCGGACGAAGUGGUGUGAGGUGGGAGGGAAGGAGGGGGGGUCCACGACGUUGUUGCUGUCACUUACUCGAAUCAGUUAUCUCUGGGACUCGCCUAUACAAGGUUGUCCAAUUUUUCUACUUCGGCCGUGGAAAGUGGUUGGUCACGGCCAAACUAUUUGGUCGAAUUUUGUGUUAAUACCUCAUCUAGUGGAUUUUGAAGACAUGUCUAACAGAUUUUCAAAUUUCUCAAUUGAAAGUUUUUGCAAAGUGUCCUACGACAGUGGUAGAAAAUAUAACAAAUUAUGGGAAGAAAAAUUCGUCUGUGUUAGUAUAGCCAGUGAUGGAAGUGAAAAUGCUCCAGUGCCAAGGAAAAUGUUGCAGAGAUUUGAAAGUAACACCACACAUGGUGGAGCUAUUUAACUCUGUAAUCAUGUACGAGAAGGAAGAACCAGGGGACGGUGACGAACUGGACUCCACCAUUAUCAUGCUCCACCACCAUUUGAGUUUACGAUUUGAGUGGGAGGUGGAUGACCUUUGUAGGAUAUUUGACCUUGGCUGAAGCCUUUAUAUACAAUAUACAGAGUACUGUACAAGCCCGUGAUAAUGGCUCCUAAAGUAGA
rnacentral:lncRNA from 1 species